CCCUGCCCUUUGUACACACCGCCCGUCGCUACUACCGAUUGAAUGGCUCAGUGAGGCGUUCGGACUGGCUCGAGGAGGUUGGCAACGACCACCUCAAGCCGGAAAGUUCGUCAAACUCGGUCAUUUAGAGG
rnacentral:rRNA from 1 species